rnacentral:rRNA from 1 species
CACAAGCGGUGGAUCAUGUGUUUAAUUCGAUGAUACGCGAAGAACCUUACCAGGUCUCGACAUCCCCCGCGAUGCUUUAGAGAUAAAGCGGAGGUAUUCGGGGAGACAGGUGGUGCAUGGUUGUCGUCAGCUCGUGUCGUGAGAUGUUGGGUUAAGUCCCGCAACGAGCGCAACCCCUAUUGCUAGUUACCAUCAUUAAGUCGGGGACUCUAGCGAGACUGCCAGUGAUAAACUGGAGGAAGGUGGGGAUGACGUCAAAUCAUCAUGCCCCUUAUGACCUGGGCUACAAACGUGAUACAAUGGCUGGAACAAAGGGAUGCGAAGCAGUGAUGUGGAGCGAAACCCAUAAAAACAGUCUCAGUUCGGAUUGAAGUCUGCAACUCGACUUCAUGAAGUCGGAAUCGCUAGUAAUCGCGGAUCAGAACGCCGCGGUGAAUACGUUCUCGGGGUUU